rnacentral:rRNA from 1 species
GUAGUCAUAUGCUUGUCUCAAAGAUUAAGCCAUGCAUGUCUAAGUAUAAGCAAAUUUAUACCGUGAAACUGCGAAUGGCUCAUUAAAUCAGUUAUCGUUUAUUUGAUAGUACCUUACUACUUGGAUAACCGUGGUAAUUCUAGAGCUAAUACAUGCUAAAAGCCCCGACUUCGGAAGGGGUGUACUUAUUAGAUUAAAAACCAAUGCCCUUCGGGGCUCUUUGGUGAUUCAUAAUAACUUAACGAAUCGCAUGGCCUUGUGCCGGCGAUGGUUCAUUCAAAUUUCUGCCCUAUCAACUUUCGAUGGUAGUAUAUGGGACUACCAUGGUUUCAACGGGUAACGGGGAAU